GUCACGUGCUUACGCACCCACCCGCCGCGCGCGCACGUGCCCACAGGUGUCCUUUGUGGUUCCUAGAGCGCACAGGCAGUUGGCGGAGGUUGGACUGGAGCGACGAGCGUCUCCUCGAGGCCUGAGAACGAAAUGUCACUAGCAGGAGCCGACUACCAGUCACAGUACCAGCGGAUAAGCCAGAAGAUGCUGGACAUUUCCGGGGACAGGGGCGUGCUGAAGGAUGUCAUCCGAGAAGGUGCUGGAGACCUGGUGACACCUGACGCCUCGGUGCUUGUGAAAUAUUCUGGAUACCUGGAGCACAUGGACAAGCCUUUUGAUUCUAACUGCUUUAGGAAAACUCCUCGGCUGAUGAAGCUUGGAGAGGAUAUUACACUUUGGGGCAUGGAGCUGGGCCUGCUGAGCAUGCGGAAAGGGGAGCUGGCCAGGUUUUUGUUCAAGCCAACCUAUGCCUAUGGGGCACUGGGCUGCCCACCCCUCAUCCCUCCAAAUGCCACAGUUCUGUUCGAGAUUGAGCUGCUUGACUUCCUCGACUCUGCUGAGUCAGACAAGUUCUGUGCCCUCUCAGCUGAGCAACAAGACCAGUUUCCACUUCAAAAAGUCCUCAAAGUGGCAACGACUGAGAAGGAGCUUGGCAACUACCUUUUCCGCCAGAAGCGCUUCUAUGAUGCCAAAGUGAGGUAUAAACGGGCCUUGUUGCUGCUGCGCCGGCGAUUGGCACCCCCUGAGGAGCAGCGCUUGGUGGAGGCCACCGAGCUCCUCAUUCUCCUGAACCUAGCCUUGGCAUAUCUGAAGCUGCACCGGCCUGCCACAGCCCUGCACUAUGGAGAGCAGGCUCUAGUCAUUGACCAAAAGAACGCCAAAGCCCUCUUCAGGUGUGGACAGGCUUGUGUCCUCCUGACCAACUAUGAGCAGGCCCGGGACUUCCUAGUUCGAGCCCAGAAGGAGCAGCCCUUCAAUCAUGACAUCAAUAAUGAGCUGAAGAAACUCUCCAGCUAUUACAAGGACUACAUGGAUAGAGAGAAAGAAAUGUGUCACCGAAUGUUUGCUUCUGGUGAAAAUGGCUCCACAGUGGGAGAACACUGAAGGCCACUUCUCCAGGGAGAGGCUCUGCCCAGUGCUGGCAUUGUAGAUGUGCUGCUGUCCCUUGGUGAAGAAGUGACUGUCAUCCAGCUCAGCACACUGUCUUUGCUCAGGUUCUUUUAUGGCGCUCUGAGCAUUUCCAACUUCUGGAUUCCUCACCUAACUGCAGCAAGUGAUCUGGCGUGGGCUGCUGGCAUUGUGAGUUGCUGCUGGCAAGAGCUCCCAGUGUGAGGACCACUGCCUUCGGGGACCUUCCCAGCCCGCCACACCCCAUCCCCAACCCCUGGGCUCACCUGUGUUUUCCCAGGUGCUGUUUCUAUUUUGUGUUUCACAGGCAGCCAGGGAAAGGAUAGCUACUGACAAGUAGAAAACUGCCACUUUUUAAAAGGCAAUUUCUUGUGUUUUCAAGUAGAAUUAGUCCUUGGCAUGUCUCCCAGUCCCAGCCCCACUUCCGGGUGCUCAUGUCCCAAGGUAAAUACAAAUAGAGAUUGCUUUGUGUGUGCUCCUGGGUUCUGUUUUGAAGAUAGAAUUAUGUUACAAAUGUUUUUGUUGUAAAUAAACAUUCCCUUGUCCUG